rnacentral:rRNA from 1 species
GAUGAACGCUGGCGGCGUGCUUAACACAUGCAAGUCGAACGGAAAGGCCAGUGCUUGCCCUGGUGCUCGAGUGGCGAACGGGUGAGUAACACGUGGGUGAUCUGCCCUGCACUUUGGGAUAAGCCUGGGAAACUGGGUCUAAUACCAGAUAGGACCAUGCUUUGGAUGGUGUGGUGGAAAGUUUUUUCGGUUUGGGAUGAGCUUGCGGCCUAUCCGCUUGUUGGUGGGGUAAUGGCCUACCAAGGCGUCGACGGGUAGCCGGCCUGAGAGGGUGUACGGCCACAUUGGGACUGAGAUACGGCCCAGACACCUACGGGAGGCAGCAGGGGGGAAUAUUGCACAAUGGGCGCAAGCCUGAUGCAGCGACGCCGCGUGGGGGAUGACGGCCUUCGGGUUGUAAACUCCUUUCGCAACUGACGAAGCUUUUUGUGACGGUAGGUUGAGAAGAAGCACCGGCUAACUACGUG